rnacentral:rRNA from 1 species
AGAGUGAACGCUGGCGGUAGGCCUAACACAUGCAAGUCGAACGGCAGCACAGUGGUAGCAAUACCAUGGGUGGCGAGUGGCGGACGGGUGAGGAAUACAUCGGAAUCUACCUUUUGGUGGGGGAUAACGUAGGGAAACUUACGCUAAUACCGCAUACGCCCUUCGGGGGAAAGCCGGGGACCUUCGGGCCUGGCGCUGAUAGAUGAGCCGAUGUCGGAUUAGCUAGUUGGUGAGGUAAUGGCUCACCAAGGCGACGAUCCGUAGCUGGUCUGAGAGGAUGAUCAGCCACACUGGAACUGAGACACGGUCCAGACUCCUACGGGAGCAGCAGUGGGGAAUA